rnacentral:rRNA from 1 species
GACGAACGCUGGCCGCGUGCUUAACACAUGCAAGUCGAACGGAAAGGCCCUGCUUUUGUGGGGUGCUCGAGUGGCGAACGGGUGAGUAACACGUGAGUAACCUGCCCUUGACUUUGGGAUAACUUCAGGAAACUGGGGCUAAUACCGGAUAGGAGCUCGUGCUGCAUGGUGGGGGUGGGAAAGUUUCGGCGGAUGGGGAUGGACUCGCGGCUUAUCAGCUUGUUGGUGGGGGAGUGGCUUACCAAGGCUUUGACGGGUAGCCGGCCUGAGAGGGUGACCGGCCACAUUGGUCCUGACACACCGCCCAUCCUCCUCCGCGACCCAGCAGUCCGGACUAUUGCCCACUCCUCCCAAGCCUAUCCCCGCCACGCCGCGUGCCUGACCUCGGCCUUCCGGUUCUCGGCCGCUUUCGCCUCUGGCGAAGCCUGACUUACCGCAACUGGUACCGAAGCACCCGCUACCCUCGUG